UACGAGAGGCCCAAACGUUAUUCGGAAUUACUGGGCUUAAAGAGUUCGUAGGCGGCGCGGAAAGUAGGGUGUGAAAGCCCUCGGCUUAACCGAGGAAUUGCGCUCUAAACUACCGUGCUUGAGGAACCUAGAGGUGAGCAGAACAGAUGGUGGAGCGGUAAAAUGCGUUGAUAUCAUCUGGAAUACCGGAGGCGAAGGCGGCUCACUGGGGGUUUUCUGACGCUGAGGAACGAAAGCCAGGGUAGCGAACGGG
rnacentral:rRNA from 1 species